rnacentral:rRNA from 1 species
UACGGGGGGGGCAAGCGUUGUUCGGAAUUACUGGGCGUAAAGGGCUCGUAGGCGGCCAACUAAGUCGGACGUGAAAUCCCCAGGCUCAACCUGGGAACUGCGUCUGAUACUGGAUGGCUUGAAUCCGGGAGAGGGAUGCAGAAUUCCAGGUGUAGCGGUGAAAUGCGUAGAUAUCUGGAGGAACACCGGUGGCGAAGGCGGCAUCCUGGACCGACACUGACACUGAGGAGCGAAAGCCAGGGGAGCAAACGGG